rnacentral:misc_RNA from 1 species
UGACUUCUGGAUAAUUUUCCAACUAUUAACAUAUAAUUGAAAAGAUUAAAAAAAAAAAUGAAAAGAAGGCAUUAUAAAUAAUUGCUGUUGCAGAGAUUAAAAUCUCACACAUGUUUAUAUAGUAACUUUGGUAUCUAUAUGAUUGAUUUGCAUCAUCAAGCAUUAACUAAAAGAAAAACUUUAGAAUAAUUAACAUAUUUCUUAAUAUGCUGAUCCCUAGGCUGUGAAAUUAAUUCUGGUUGGCCUAAUCAGAUGCCUCUGCCAUGUGGUCAAUUACGUCAAGAGCACUUCUGCUUAAAAGUUUCAAAUAAUAAAAACAAAACAUAAUAACUGCCACAAUUUCAAUGAAUAACACAUUUCCUCAUUCUUUUGUGGACUUAGAAUGACAAGAUGUUAAUGUUAAUUCAAAGAAGCAAAAGCUUCCUGCUUACCAAAAAAUAAAAAAGAAAAUGACCCCACUAAAUUUGAUGGAUAUUGUGAGAAGGAGAAUACAAAAGUCAAUACUGGAAAUAAUUAGAAAUUGUAAAGGGAGGAUUAAACAAGCGAAGUGUUACCUGGUGUAGGAAUAUAUGUUAUUG